rnacentral:rRNA from 1 species
GCCCGGUGCUGCAAGAUUAAGAGAAAAAGUUUUGGCUUUGACUUUAACUCCCAGUAAACGGCGGCUGUAACUCUGACGGUCCAAAGGUAGCGAAAUUCCUUGGCAUUUAAUUGGUGUCCUGCAUGAAUGGCGUAACGACUGUCCUACUGUCUCUGGUACAAUCUCAGUGAAAUUGAAAUGUCUGUGAAGAUGCAGACUACUUGCGGCUAGACGGAAAGACCCUGUGCACCUUUACUAUAGUUAUGAAUUGUAAUAAAUUUUUUUUUGUGUAGAAUAUGUGGUAAGUUUUUAUUAGACCGUAACGUAAGUUAUCUGUUUAAACAUCAAUGAAAUACCACUCUUAAAAAUUUUUGUUACUCAUGAUUUCAAAACAGUUCAUAAUGGGUAGUUUGACUGGGGCGGUCGCCUCCCAAAGAGUAACGGAGGCGUGCGAAGGUAGGCUCAGAACGGUCGGAAAUCGUUCGUCGAGUAUAAUGGCAUAAGCCUGCCUGACUGCGAGAUCUACGAAUCGAGCAGAGACGAAAGUCGGUCAUAGUGAUCCGGUGGUCCCGCGUGGAUGGGCCAUCGCUCAACGGAUAAAAGCUGCCCCG